rnacentral:rRNA from 1 species
AUGGAGCAUCGUCGGGCCGUUGGAAAAUCGGCGGUGCUGCAACAGAGCAUCUUCGGCCAUCGGAGCAUUGCCGGUGCUGCGGUGGAGCAUCGCCGAGCCGCCGAAGGAUCGCUUUGCUGGUGCUGCGAUGGAGCAUCGUCGAGCCGUCGGAGGAUCAUCGGAGCAUCGCCGAGCCGCCGGAGGAUCGUCGGAGCAUCGCCGGCGCUGUGA